rnacentral:rRNA from 1 species
UACAGAGGUCUCAAGCGUUGUUCGGAUUCAUUGGGCGUAAAGGGUGCGUAGGCGGCUUGGUGGGUCUGGUGUGAAAGCCCCGGGCUCAGCCCGGGAAGGGCACUAGAAACUGCCGAGCUGGAGUGCCGGAGGGGAGAGUGGAAUUCCUGGUGUAGCGGUGAAAUGCGUAGAUAUCAGGAGGAAUACCGGUGGCGAAAGCGACUCUCUGGACGGCAACUGACGCUGAGGCACGAAAGCGUGGGGAGCAAACAGG